rnacentral:rRNA from 1 species
GUCGAGCGAGCUUGCCUAGAUGAUUUUAGUGCUUGCACUAAAUGAAACUAGAUACAAGCGAGCGGCGGACGGGUGAGUAACACGUGGGUAACCUGCCCAAGAGACUGGGAUAACACCUGGAAACAGAUGCUAAUACCGGAUAACAACACUAGACGCAUGUCUAGAGUUUGAAAGAUGGUUCUGCUAUCACUCUUGGAUGGACCUGCGGUGCAUUAGCUAGUUGGUAAGGUAACGGCUUACCAAGGCAAUGAUGCAUAGCCGAGUUGAGAGACUGAUCGGCCACAUUGGGACUGAGACACGGCCCAAACUCCUACGGGAGGCAGGAGUAGGGAAUCUUCCACAAUGGACGAAAGUCUGAUGGAGCAACGCCGCGUGAGUGAAGAAGGGUUUCGGCUCGUAAAGCUCUGUUGGUAGUGAAGAAAGAUAGAGGUAGUAACUGGCCUUUAUUUGACGGUAAUUACUUAGAAAGUCACGGCUAACUACGUGCCAGCAGCCGCGGUAAUACGUAGGUGGCAAGCGUUGUCCGGAUUUAUUGGGCGUAAAGCGAGUGCAGGCGGUUCAAUAAGUCUGAUGUGAAAGCCUUCGGCUCAACCGGAGAAUUGCAUCAGAAACUGUUGAACUUGAGUGCAGAAGAGGAGAGUGGAACUCCAUGUGUAGCGGUGGAAUGCGUAGAUAUAUGGAAGAACACCAGUGGCGAAGGCGGCUCUCUGGUCUGCAACUGACGCUGAGGCUCGAAAGCAUGGGUAGCGAACAGGAUUAGAUACCCUGGUAGUCCAUGCCGUGAACGAUGAGUGCUAAGUGUUGGG